rnacentral:snRNA from 1 species
UGGCUAAGUCCGUUCGGCGGA